rnacentral:rRNA from 1 species
CAUUACAAGUGACCCCGGUCUAACCACCGGGAUGUUCAUAACCCUUUGUUGUCCGACUCUGUUGCCUCCGGGGCGACCCUGCCUUCGGGCGGGGGCUCCGGGUGGACACUUCAAACUCUUGCGUAACUUUGCAGUCUGAGUAAACUUAAUUAAUAAAUUAAAACUUUUAACAACGGAUCUCUUGGUUCUGGCAUCGAUGAAGAACGCAGCGAAAUGCGAUAAGUAAUGUGAAUUGCAGAAUUCAGUGAAUCAUCGAAUCUUUGAACGCACAUUGCGCCCCCUGGUAUUCCGGGGGGCAUGCCUGUUCGAGCGUCAUUUCACCACUCAAGCCUCGCUUGGUAUUGGGCAACGCGGUCCGCCGCGUGCCUCAAAUCGACCGGCUGGGUCUUCUGUCCCCUAAGCGUUGUGGAAACUAUUCGCUAAAGGGUGUUCGGGAGGCUACGCCGUAAAACAACCCCAUUUCUAAGGUUGACCUCGGAUCAGGUAGGGAUACCCGCUGAACUUAAGCAUAUCAAUAAGCGGAGGAAAAGAAACCAACAGGGAUUGCUCUAGUAACGGCGAGUGAAGCAGCAAUAGCUCAAAUUUGAAAUCUGGCGUCUUCGACGUCCGAGUUGUAAUUUGUAGAGGAUGCUUCUGAGUAACCACCGACCUAAGUUCCUUGGAACAGGACGUCAUAGAGGGUGAGAAUCCCGUAUGCGGUCGGAAAGGUGCUCUAUACGUAGCUCCUUCGACGAGUCGAGUUGUUUGGGAAUGCAGCUCUAAAUGGGAGGUAAAUUUCUUCUAAAGCUAAAUAUUGGGCC